AAUUGGCUUCACUUCCAUCACAGUAUCCUAACAGUUAUACAGAGAGAAAUCCCUGAUCUGAGUGCUUGUUGGGAACAAAGUCACAACUAUUGACCAACAACAGUUUUUGAGGAAAGCGUCUUCAUCAGCUACUGCAUGCAGUAUAUUUCCCAGGCUUGAGGUCUUCAUUACCUCUUGGAUGAUUUGAGUGACAACAAAGUGACGUGCAGAAAGAAAACAGAAGAAAGCACAAAAAUUAACAAAAAUAAUGUAAAAUAAAUAAAAGGGUGU